rnacentral:rRNA from 1 species
AGGGUUUGAUCCUGGCUCAGAUUGAACGCUGGCGGUAUGCUUAACACAUGCAAGUCGAACGGAAACGAUGGUAGCUUGCUACCAGGCGUCGAAUGGCGGACGGGUGAGUAACGCGUAGGAAUCUACCUGAUAGUGGGGGAUAGCCCAGAGAAAUCUGGAUUAAUACCGCAUAAUCUCUAUGGAGUAAAGUGGGGGAUCUUCGGACCUCACGCUAUCAGAUGAGCCUGCGUAAGAUUAGCUAGUUGGUGAGGUAAAAGCUCACCAAGGCGACGAUCUUUAGCUGGUCUGAGAGGAUGAUCAGCCACACUGGGACUGAGACACGGCCCAGACUCCUACGGGAGGCAGCAGUGGGGAAUAUUGGACAAUGGGCGCAAGCCUGAUCCAGCAAUACCGCGUGUGUGAAGAAGGCCUGAGGGUUGUAAAGCACUUUCAAUUGUGAAGAAAAGCUUAGUGUUAAUAGCACUAAGCCUUGACGUUAACUUUARAAGAAGCACCGGCUAACUCCGUGCCAGCAGCCGCG